rnacentral:rRNA from 1 species
AGAGUUUGAUCCUGGCUCAGGAUGAACGCUAGCGACAGGCUUAACACAUGCAAGUCGAGGGGCAGCAUGAUUUGUAGCAAUACAGAUUGAUGGCGACCGGCGCACGGGUGAGUAACGCGUAUGCAACUUACCUAUCAGAGGGGGAUAGCCCGGCGAAAGUCGGAUUAAUACCCCAUAAAACAGGGGUCCCGCAUGGGAAUAUUUGUUAAAGAUUCAUCGCUGAUAGAUAGGCAUGCGUUCCAUUAGGCAGUUGGCGGGGUAACGGCCCACCAAACCGACGAUGGAUAGGGGUUCUGAGAGGAAGGUCCCCCACAUUGGUACUGAGACACGGACCAAACUCCUACGGGAGGCAGCAGUGAGGAAUAUUGGUCAAUGGCCGAGAGGCUGAACCAGCCAAGUCGCGUGAAGGAAGAAGGAUCUAUGGUUUGUAAACUUCUUUUAUAGGGGAAUAAAGUGGAGGACGUGUCCUUUUUUGUAUGUACCCUAUGAAUAAGCAUCGGCUAACUCCGUGCCAGCAGCCGCGGUAAUACGGAGGAUGCGAGCGUUAUCCGGAUUUAUUGGGUUUAAAGGGUGCGUAGGUGGUGAUUUAAGUCAGCGGUGAAAGUUUGUGGCUCAACCAUAAAAUUGCCGUUGAAACUGGGUUACUUGAGUGUGUUUGAGGUAGGCGGAAUGCGUGGUGUAGCGGUGAAAUGCAUAGAUAUCACGCAGAACUCCGAUUGCGAAGGCAGCUUACUAAACCAUAACUGACACUGAAGCACGAAAGCGUGGGGAUCAAACAGGAUUAGAUACCCUGGUAGUCCACGCAGUAAACGAUGAUUACUAGGAGUUUGCGAUACAAUGUAAGCUCUACAGCGAAAGCGUUAAGUAAUCCACCUGGGGAGUACGCCGGCAACGGUGAAACUCAAAGGAAUUGACGGGGGCCCGCACAAGCGGAGGAACAUGUGGUUUAAUUCGAUGAUACGCGAGGAACCUUACCCGGGUUUGAACGUAGUCUGACCGGAGUGGAAACACUCUUUCUAGCAAUAGCAGAU